CUCAAACAUAGAGCAGUAGACCGAUGCAGUUAAAAAUACAAGUGUGGCAGAGAAAUCUGAGGUAAACAAAAGUCGGGAUUACCGAACAGAAAAACUACAAACUGUUCAAAAACAGGCGAAAUGGACAAACUGCCCAACAAAAUGGCCGCCGUCAUGAAGGAGGGAGGCAGAGUUGAGCGAAAGAGGGAGGUAAGGAUAUUGGCGCUUGAGUGUAUUGGAGAUAUACUCGAGCCACAGCCACGGUGGCAUGGGAAUAAAAGACUUUACACCUCUAAUAAGGUUACAAAGGGUAGGCUAAUAAAUAGAAACGAAAAAACACUGGGGAAAGUGUGAG